CGCGGUAAUUCCAGCUCCAAUAGCGUAUACUAAAGUGUUGCAGUUAAAAAGCUCGUAGUUGGAUUUCUGGCGGGGACGGCUGGUCGGUCUCGAAAGGGGCUGUACUGUUGUUGGUUCCCGUCAUCCUUGGGGAGAGCGGCCCUUACAUUAAGUUGUCGGCGUCGGGAUCCCUAUCUUUUACUGUGAAAAAAUUAGAGUGUUCAAAGCAGGCUUAGGCCCUGAAUACAUUAGCAUGGAAUAAUAAGAUACGACCUUGGUGGUCUAUUUUGUUGGUUUGCACGCCAAGGUAAUGAUUAAUAGGGAUAGUUGGGGGUAUUCGUAUUCAAUUGUCAGAGGUGAAAUUCUUGGAUUUAUGGAAGACGAACUACUGCGAAAGCAUUUACCAAGGAUGUUUUCAUUAAUCAAGAACGAAAGUUAGGGGAUCGAAGAUGAUUAGAUACCAUCGUAGUCUUAACCAUAAACUAUGCCGACUAGGGAUCGGUGGGUGCAUUUUUAGGCCUCAUCGGCACCUUAUGAGAAAUCAAAGUCUUUGGGUUCCGGGGGGAGUAUGGUCGCGAGGCUGAAACUUAAAGAAAUUGACGG
rnacentral:rRNA from 1 species